UACGGGGGGGGCAAGCGUUGUUCGGAAUUACUGGGCGUAAAGGGCUCGUAGGCGGCCAACUAAGUCGGAUGUGAAAUCCCCAGGCUCAACCUGGGAACUGCAUCCGAUACUGGAUGGCUUGAAUCCGGGAGAGGGAUGCAGAAUUCCUGGUGUAGCGGUGAAAUGCGCAGAUAUCAGGAGGAACACCGGUGGCGAAGGCGGUUCUCUGGGAAUAUCCUGACGCUGAGGAGCGAAAGUGUGGGGAGCGAACAGG
rnacentral:rRNA from 1 species